rnacentral:rRNA from 1 species
CCUACGGGGGGCAGCAGUGAGGAAUAUUGGUCAAUGGGCGAGAGCCUGAACCAGCCAAGUCGCGUGAGGGAAGACGGUCCUAUGGAUUGUAAACCUCUUUUGCCGGGGAGCAAAAAGCGGUACGCGUACCGCAUCGAGAGUACCCGGAGAAAAAGCAUCGGCUAACUCCGUGCCAGCAGCCGCGGUAAUACGGAGGAUGCGAGCGUUAUCCGGAUUUAUUGGGUUUAAAGGGUGCGCAGGCGGAAGCGCAAGUCAGCGGUAAAAUUGAGAGGCUCAACCUCUUCCCGCCGUUGAAACUGCGUUUU